rnacentral:rRNA from 1 species
UACAGAGGUGGCAAGCGUUGUUCGGAAUUACUGGGCGUAAAGGGCUCGUAGGCGGCCAACUAAGUCAGACGUGAAAUCCCUCGGCUUAACCGGGGAACUGCGUCUGAUACUGGAUGGCUUGAGUUUGGGAGAGGGAUGCGGAAUUCCAGGUGUAGCGGUGAAAUGCGUAGAUAUCUGGAGGAAUACCGGUGGCGAAGGCGGCAUCCUGGACCGAGAUUGACACUGAGGAGCGAAAGCCAGGGGAGCAAACGGG